rnacentral:lncRNA from 1 species
UGUAUUAUGUAUGUUUAUUCCAAACAUAACCUUAUAAACAAACAGUUGUUUAUUUAGAGUUAUUUAUUAUUGUUUUCUGAUAUUUUGCAAUUGUUAAGUUGGUUUACUUCGAAUUUAAUAUGCAUUACUGUGGUAUUUCUCCAGUUUUCUAAGAAGGUUGGUGAUUUUGAAUUGGGAUUAUGAUGAAUUUAACCCAAAGGCAAUGUGUGUUUAUUUAUGUGGCAAAAUUUCAGGCACCAUAAAAAUUUGAGUUUCAUCCUGUUGCCCAUGGAUGAAAAUCGGUUUGCAGAAUGAAAAGAAAUUCAAUGUGAUAAACUUUCUAUGAACAGUCCUCAAUAUUGUUACAUUAACUUUUAAAUAUGCACUUUACAUCUUGAGGAGCAAGCCUUUGCAGAAAUACUGAAAAGCGGGUUGCAAAACAAUGCAAAAUAAAAUAAAUGAAAUAUGUCUUGAGAUUAAACAUUCAAGUUAAAGGUGUGUUCUUUCUUAAACUGGAAUGAUAAUUUUGUAAUUCUGUAGGCACAUCUAUUGAGAAGUUACAACCAGUGGCAAAGUGCCUUAAGGGAAUCUAUGACAUAUAUAAUUGAAGGGACAUCUCCUCUGAAGGAAUUACAAUUAUUUGCCAGUAUGUCAAAUGAAUUUUCAACAUCAGUCAUACUUUCAUGAAUUUAUUGAUGAAAAUAAAACUAGGUACAUGAUUUA